UACGAAGGGGGCUAGCGUUGCUCGGAAUCACUGGGCGUAAAGCGCACGUAGGCGGCUUUUUAAGUCAGGGGUGAAAUCCUGGAGCUCAACUCCAGAACUGCCUUUGAUACUGAGAGCUUGAGUCCGGGAGAGGUGAGUGGAACUGCGAGUGUAGAGGUGAAAUUCGUAGAUAUUCGCAAGAACACCAGUGGCGAAGGCGGCUCACUGGCCCGGUACUGACGCUGAGACGCGAAAGCUAGGGGAGCAACGGG
rnacentral:rRNA from 1 species